rnacentral:rRNA from 1 species
GUGAGGAAUAUUGCGCAAUGGAGGCAACUCUGACGCAGCCAUGCCGCGUGCAGGAAGAAGGCGCCACGCGUUGUAAACUGCUUUUAACCGGGAAGAAACCCCAGGACGUGUCCUGGGUUGACGGUACCGGAGGAAUAAGCACCGGCUAACUUCGUGCCGGCAGCCGCGGUCAUACGAAGGGUGCAAGCGUUAUCCGGAUUCAUUGGGUUUAAAGGGUGCGUAGGCGGAGCGUUAAGUCAGUGGUGAAAUCCUGCAGCUUAACUGUAGACUUGCCAGUGAUACUGGCGCUCUUGAGUGCGCUUGAAGUGGGCGGAAUGUGCCGUGUAGCGGUGAAAUGCUUAGAUAUGGCACAGAACACCAAUUGCGAAGGCAGCUCACUAAGGCGAUACUGACGCUGAGGCACGAAAGCGUGGGGAUCGAACAGGAUUAGAUACCCUUGUAGUCC